CCUACGGGGGGCUGCAGUGAGGAAUAUUGGUCAAUGGCCGUAAGGCUGAACCAGCCAAGUCGCGUGAAGGAAGAAGGAUCUAUGGUUUGUAAACUUCUUUUAUAGGGGAAUAAAGGUAUCCACGGGUGGAUAUUUGCAUGUACCCUAUGAAUAAGCAUCGGCUAACUCCGUGCCAGCAGCCGCGGUAAUACGGAGGAUGCGAGCGUUAUCCGGAUUUAUUGGGUUUAAAGGGUGCGUAGGUUGUUUUUUAAGUCAGCGGUGAAAGUUUGUGGCUCAACCACAAAGGUGCCGUUGAAACUGGUAGACUUGCGUGUGUUUGAGGUAGGCGGAAUGCGUGGUGUAGCGGUGAAAUGCAUCGAUAUCACGAAGAACCCCGAGUGCGAAGGCAGCUUACUAAACUGUGACUGACAUUGAUGCUCGAAAGUGUGGGUAUCAAACAGGAUUAGAUACCCCAGUAGUC
rnacentral:rRNA from 1 species